UCCGAAAUGGUCUAGUGGCUAGGAUUCGCCGCUCUCAUGUAGAAGCCACUACCCAACGGGUUGUUCUUCGACACGAGCCGGCGCGGCCGGGGUUCAAUUUCCCGUUUCGGAA